ACAGUAACAACAUAUUGCCCAACCAGGGCAUUUUCUAGAAUGGGGCUACUUGGACAAAUCUCCGCUGGUCCACUUCUCCAGGGAAGAGUCCCAAAGCUGUAGACCUCACCAUCUGAAGGUUAAAAAAAAGAAAAAAGAAAAAAAAAGUGGGUGAUCCUUUUGAAAAAUGUUGAAAUGGCAAACAAAGAAAUGGAGCAGUAGCUGCAGGGGAAUGUGAAAAUGAAGGAUUUUCUUUUGCUGGAGGUUGGGGAGACGAGAGGAAGCUGAAUAUGUCUGCAUGACAAAGGCUGUGAUCCUGGAUACAAGGAUGAUGAGGACAGUGGGCAGAGCCAAAGUCCUAGACAAAGUGAAGGAGGAUGCCAUCCAGAAUAUAUGUGGAGAGAUUGUUUUUUUCAUAAGAAGAAAGGUCUAUGUUUUCGAAAGAAGAGAGAUCACAGGUAUUAUGCUAGUCUAAAAUUUCCAUGGAAGCAGAGUGACAAAUAUCGUAUUUUCCAGUACAUCCCAGCAGCUUAGUCGUGAUAUAUAACAGGUACUCAAUAAAUAUCUGUAAAUACAUGAGUUCCCG